rnacentral:rRNA from 1 species
UACAGAGGUCCCGAGCGUUGUUUGGAUUCACUGGGCGUAAAGGGUGCGUAGGUGGUGGGGUAAGUCGGAUGUGAAAUCUCGGAGCUCAACUCCGAAAUGGCAUUGGAAACUACCCUGCUGGAGGUUUGGAGGGGGGACUGGAAUACUUGGUGUAGCAGUGAAAUGCGUAGAUAUCAAGUGGAACACCAGUGGCGAAGGCGAGUCCCUGGACAAAACCUGACACUGAGGCACGAAAGCUAGGGGAGCAAACAGG